rnacentral:rRNA from 1 species
UACGUAGGGUGCAAGCGUUAAUCGGAAUUACUGGGCGUAAAGCGUGCGCAGGCGGUUUUGUAAGUCAGAUGUGAAAUCCCCGGGCUUAACCUGGGAACUGCGUUUGGAAACUACAAGGCUAGAGUGUGGCAGAGGGGGGUGGAAUUCCGACGUGUAGCAGUGAAAUGCGUGAGAGAUGUGGAGGAACACCGGAUGGCGAAGGCAGCCCCUGGGUU